AGCAGCCGCGGUAAUUCCAGCUCCAAUAGCGUAUAUUAAAGUUGUUGCAGUUAAAAAGCUCGUAGUUGAAUUUCGGAGUUUGUCGGUUGGUCGGGCUUCAUUGUCCGCACUGACCUGAUGGAUUCCUACCUUCUGAAUAACCAGCAUGCUAUUAAGUUAGUGCGUUGGGGAAGCAGAGCUAUUACCUUAGAAAAAUUGAGUGCUUAAAGCAGG
rnacentral:rRNA from 1 species